rnacentral:rRNA from 1 species
CCUACGGAGGCAGCAGUAGGGAAUCUUCCACAAUGGGCGAAAGCCUGAUGGAGCAACGCCGCGUGAGUGAUGAAGGCCUUCGGGUUGUAAAACUCUGUCAUUCGGGACGAACCGGAGUCUGAGGAAAUGCAGACUCUCUGACGGUACCGGAGGAGGAAGCCCCGGCUAACUACGUGCCAGCAGCCGCGGUAAUACGUAGGGGGCAAGCGUUGUCCGGAUUCACUGGGCGUAAAGCGCGCGCAGGCGGUGAUGUAAGUCUGAGGUGAAAACCCGAAGCUCAACUUCGGGACUGCCUUGGAUACUGCGUCACUUGAGGAUAGGAGAGGCAAGGGGAAUUCCACGUGUAGCGGUGAAAUGCGUAGAGAUGUGGAGGAACACCUGUGGCGAAGGCGCCUUGCUGGCCUAUUUCUGACGCUGAGGCGCGAAAGCGUGGGGAGCAAACAGGAUUAGAUACCCUGGUAGUCCACGCUGUAAACGAUGAGUGCUAGGUGUAGGUGGGCUCAUACCCAUCUGUGCCGAAAGCUAACGCAUUAAAGCACUCCGCCUUGGGGAGUUACGGUUGCAGACUUGAACUUAAAUUGAAUUGACGGCNGAGAGNGCGAGACGACACGAGGAGAG